rnacentral:rRNA from 1 species
AUGGAAAAUUGUAUCUGGGGCGUUACAACUUAUUAUGCAAAUAAUUUGUUGCCUGGCAGUAAUUGGGUUGGAUCUUUUUGGUGGAAGGCAAAUCUCAAGCUCAUUGAUAAUUUCAAAUCCUUGGCCAGAUGUCACAUAGGGGAUGGUAAAAGUGCUCUAUUCUGGUCUGAUCUGUGGCAUUUAGCUUGUUUACAGGACUUGUUCCCUCACCUCUUCUCAUUUGUGAAGGACCAGAACACUACUAUGCACACCAUUAUUCAUACCGAAUACCUGGAGGAUCUGUUUCACCUUCCUCUCACUGUGCAAGCCUUCCAGGAAUUUGAAAGUAUGGAAGAUAUUUGUUUUGCUUUAAGGGCUUCUGACUCCCUGGAUUGCACUGACACUUGGAGCUACAUU